AUUGAACGCUGGCGGCAGGCCUAACACAUGCAAGUCGAGCGCGAAAGUCUUCGGAUGAGUAAAGCGGCGAACGGGUGAGUAAUGCAUGGGAAUCUGCCUGGUAGUGGGGGACAACGUCUCGAAAGGGACGCUAAUACCGCAUACGCCCUACGGGGAAAGGGGGGGAGUCUUCGGACCUCUCGCUAUCAGAUGAGCCCAUGUCAGAUUAGCUAGUUGGUGAGGUAAAGGCUCACCAAGGCGACGAUCUGUAACUGGUCUGAGAGGAUGAUCAGUCACACUGGAACUGAGACACGGUCCAGACUCCUACGGGAGGCAGCAGUGGGGGAAUAUUGGACAAUGGGGGCAACCCUGAUCCAGCCAUGCCGCGUGUGUGAAGAAGGCCCUAGGGUUGUAAAGCACUUUCAGUGGGAGAAAGGUUAUUCACCUAAUACGUGAGUAGAUUGAUGUUACCACAGAAGAAGACACCGGACUAAC
rnacentral:rRNA from 1 species